CUGCUUCUCUUCUUGGUAUAAUCUCAUCCCCAUCUCCUACUGAAAUUUUGUCGACCACACAAUUCACGAAUGAAGGGAGUUUCUUAUGCAGAAAGCUGAAACGGCAGCAAGUGAGACGAAUAGGGCAUCGGUUGUGGCGUUGAAUGCUGAGAUUCGUCGAAUUAAAGGUUGAUUGCAGCGAUUGGCUCAAAAAAAGGGUUAUAUUCGGUUGUGGCGUUGAAUGCUGAGAUUCGUCGAAUUAAAGGUUGAUUGCAGCGAUUGCUGCAUAUUUGUACAAACUUGGAGAAGAUCUCGUAAGUCUAUGCUGGAAAGAAUGAUCAGUGGCAUGAUUGUUAAAAGAGCUUAGCUACUAAAGGAAAUUGAUGAUCAUGAAGCAAAGGUGGCAACCAUAUGUUCUGCAAUGGGAGAGAGACCGUUGCAUAUUCAGCAGCAAAGCAGUUUGCGGCUUUAUAGGGUGUGAUGUCGAUGAACUCCAUCAACUUUCGAUAGUAGAGUUCACAACUUCUUUUUUUCGUUCAGAUAUUGCAAGAGGUUUUUGCAGCCAACAACAUAAGGUUUUUGUCAGAAUCUCUUUUUCCUGAUGUACAGAUGAUUUCGGGAUCAAUUCCAAACUUCCGUAAUGCUGAGGGACAAGAUGUGCUGCUCUUUAUUGACAACAUUUUCCGUUUUACCCAAGCUAACUCAGAGAUGUCUGCUUUAC